UACGUAGGGGGCAAGCGUUGUCCGGAAUCAUUGGGCGUAAAGAGCGUGUAGGCGGCCCGAUAAGUCCGCCGUGAAAGCCCAGGGCUCAACCCUGGGAUGCCGGUGGAUACUGUCGGGCUAGAAUCCGGAAGAGGCGAGUGGAAUUCCUGGUGUAGCGGUGAAAUGCGCAGAUAUCAGGAGGAACACCGAUGGCGAAGGCAGCUCGCUGGGACGGUACUGACGCUAAGGCGCGAAAGCGUGGGGAGCAAACAGG
rnacentral:rRNA from 1 species